ensembl:lncRNA
AAAGUGAUGUACAGGAAUAAAAACUCAGUAUAUAAUACUGAUUUUCAUUGUUUUCUAGGUAAAAAAAGAAGAAAAAGGUAAGUUUUAUAUUCAUUCAAUUUAGUAGUAGGCCUAUAUGUUUGUUAGUAGUCUAUAUUGUAGUCCAGGAGCUGUAUGUGUAAAUGUUUAACUUCUUAUUUGAUAUAUUCAUGUAUGAAAAAUCUAUAAAACCUGAUGUGCCCAGUCAAGGAAUUGGUAUGAGCUGUUCUGGACCUGCAGAGGCAUAUUCUCUGGUCACUUCUGUACCAGCCACAUCUCAGCCCAUGUCUGAAGGUAAGAGAACAUCAUUCUCAGGCAAUGAUCUCGGAUUAAUUAAAAACAUAGUAGCUAAUUGGGGUGGGCGAUAUAGCAAAAAUAUAAUAUCAUGAUUUUUUUUAUUUUUAUAUCAUGAUUAUAUCGUGAUUUCUUAUUGAACCAACUAUGUUAAAGUUCUUCAGUCAAGAGCAGCGAGUGAUUUUUCUCUGUGUGUUUUGUUGUUUUAUGAACAUUAAUGUGAUAGUUCAACCACAAAUGAAAAUUCUGUCAUCAUUUUCUCACUCAAGUUGUUUUAAACCUGAAUGAGUUUCUUUCUUCUGUUGAACAUAAAAGUUAUUUUGAAGAAUGUGGGUAACCAAAGAGUUGCUGGUCCCCAGUGACUUCCAUAGUAUUUUGUUUCUCCUACUCUCAAAGUCAAUAGCCACGUUUCCACUGUAGGGCUUAAAGCGGGCGUGCUAGUGUGUGCCAGGGUCAGUCGCGUUUCCACUGUCACUUCCGGGGCUUGAUCGUGCCUCGUCGGUGCUUCCUCGGGGCUAGCCGCCAGGGUUUUUUGGCCCGAUAAAAACCUUGGGCCAAAGCGGGCCAGCUGGGGCUAGAGGAGUGGUUAUGAACAAAGGCGGAGUUUCUCCGCAUCUGGACAGCGUCAGCGUCGCGGAUCAUUUCAGAAAGCUAACAGCUAUAACACCAGCAUUAAAAACUUUUUAAAAUAAGUUGAGCUCAAAACUCACUUUCAGUCAGCAGCGAGUGUUUGAAAUAACUCGACCCGAUCCGAUGUGGAUUAUAAUCACCAUAAAAGGCAGAAAUAUUUAUAAGCGAUGCAAAAGAAUAUGCACGCUAGGUAUUAACGUUCCCAUAGUAAACAUGGUAACGUUAAACGUGACCGUUUGAAGAAAUCAGACGUCAGCUUCUUAUUCUCUAUCA